rnacentral:rRNA from 1 species
UCGCAAGGCUGAAACUCAAAGGAAUUGACGGGGGCUCACACAAGCGGUGGAGCAUGUGGCUCAAUUCGAGGCUACGCGAAGAACCUUAUCCUGGGCUUGACAUGUGCGAAAGCGCUGGGAAGUAGCGGGUGGAAACACUUUGCCAACGGUAUCCAGUCCGGAACCCAGUACAGGUGCUGCAUGGCUGUCGUCAGCUCGUGUCGUGAGAUGUCGGGUUAAGUCCCAUAACGAGCGAAACCCUUGCCUCCAGUUGCCAGCGGGUCAUGCCGGGGACUCUGGAGGGACUGCCGGCGUCAAGCCGGAGGAAGGUGGGGAUGACGUCAAGUCCUCAUGGCCUUUAUGCCCAGGGCUGCACACGUGCUACAAUGCCGUGAACAAAGGGAUGCAAACUCGCGAGAGGGAGCCAAUCCCAAAAAACACGGCCCAGUUCAGAUCGAAGGCUGCAACUCGCCUUCGUGAAGUUGGAAUCGCUAGUAAUCGCAGGUCAGCAACACUGCGGUGAAUGUGUUCCUGAGCCUUGUACUCACCGCCCGUC